UACAGAGGGUGCGAGCGUUAAUCGGAAUUACUGGGCGUAAAGCGCGCGUAGGCGGCUUGCAAGUCGGGUGUGAAAUCCCCAGGCUUAACCUGGGAACUGCAUCCGAGACUGCAUUGCUAGAGUAUGGGAGAGGGAAGCGGAAUUUCUGGUGUAGCAGUGAAAUGCGUAGAUAUCAGAAGGAACAUCAGUGGCGAAGGCGGCUUCCUGGACCAAUACUGACGAUCAGGUGCGAAGGCGUGGGGAGCAAACAGG
rnacentral:rRNA from 1 species